UAGGGAAUUUUCGUUCAAUGGGGGCAACCCUGAACGAGCAAUGCCGCGUGAGCGAAGAAGGUCUUCGGAUUGUAAAGCUCUGUUGCCGGGGAAAAAGGAAGGAAGAGGAAAUGCUUUUCUUUGGAUGGUACCCGGCCAGAAAGUCACGGCUAACUACGUGCC
rnacentral:rRNA from 1 species